CCUUCGAUAGCUCAGUUGGUAGAGCGGAGGACUGUAGAUCCUUAGGUCGCUGGUUCGAAUCCGGCUCGAAUGA
rnacentral:tRNA from 1 species